UACGAAGGGGGCUAGCGUUGCUCGGAAUCACUGGGCGUAAAGCGCACGUAGGCGGCUUUUUAAGUCAGGGGUGAAAUCCUGGAGCUCAACUCCAGAACUGCCUUUGAUACUGGGAAGCUCGAGUCCGGGAGAGGUGAGUGGAACUCCGAGUGUAGAGGUGAAAUUCGUAGAUAUUCGGAAGAACACCAGUGGCGAAGGCGGCUCACUGGCCCGGUACUGACGCUGAGGUGCGAAAGCGUGGGGAGCAAACAGG
rnacentral:rRNA from 1 species